rnacentral:rRNA from 1 species
AUUGAACGCUGGCGGCAGGCUUAACACAUGCAAGUCGAGCGGAGAGAGGUAGCUUGCUACUGAUCUUAGCGGCGGACGGGUGAGUAAUGCUUAGGAAUCUGCCUAUUAGUGGGGGACAACAUUUCGAAAGGAAUGCUAAUACCGCAUACGUCCUACGGGAGAAAGCAGGGGAUCUUCGGACCUUGCGCUAAUAGAUGGGCCUAAGUCGGAUUAGCUAGUUGGUGGGGUAAAGGCCUACCAAGGCGACGAACUGUAGCGGGUCUGAGAGGAUGAUCCGCCACACUGGGACUGAGACACGGCCCAGACUCCUACGGGAGGCAGCAGUGGGGAAUAUUGGACAAUGGGCGCAAGCCUGAUCCAGCCAUGCCGCGUGUGUGAAGAAGGCCUUAUGGUUGUAAAGCACUUUAAGCGAGGAGGAGGCUACUUUAGAUAAUACCUAGAGAUAGUGGACGUUACUCGCAGAAUAAGCACCGGCUAACUCUGUGCCAGCCGCCGCCGUAACAC